GACGAACGCUGGCGGCGUGCUUAACACAUGCAAGUCGAACGGAAAGGCCCUGCUUUUGUGGGGUGCUCGAGUGGUGAACGGGUGAGUAACACGUGAGUAACCUGCCCUUGACUUUGGGAUAACUUCAGGAAACUGGGGCUAAUACCGGAUAGGAGCUCCUGCUGCAUGGUGGGGGUUGGAAAGUUUCGGCGGGUGGGGAUGGACUCGCGGCUUAUCAGCUUGUUGGUGGGGUAGUGGCUUACCAAGGCUUUGACGGGUAGCCGGCCUGAGAGAGUGACCGGCCACAUUGGGACUGAGAUACGGCCCAGACUCCUGCGGCAGGCAGCAGUGGGGAAUAUUGCACAAUGGGCGGAAGCCUGAUGCAGCAACGCCGCGUGCGGGAUGACGGCCUUCUGGUUGUAAACCGCUUUCGCCUGUGACGAAGCGUGAGUGACGGUAAUGGGUAAAGAAGCACCGGCUAACUACGUGCCAGCAGCCGCCGUAACAC
rnacentral:rRNA from 1 species